UCUUCAUCUUUUGUUUCUCCCGUUCGACUCUCUUAAAUUCCAGCGACGAAGAACGGCCCUGAGAUCGGAGGAGGAGACAACGGUUCUUCUUUCAUCUCAAGAGAAGAAUCGAUUUUACAGAUAAGAGUUUCACCCCUCUUCCUUCUUCAAUGAAUAUAUCCCCCUAUUUCAAUCUUCAUCUUCUAUCCUCGACUUCUUCUUCAUCCUCCUUCUUUGAUCUUCAUCCCCGUUCUGUAUGAGACUCAAUACCCCGUUCUGUAAUUUCGCUCCUGCGAAGUUCGACUUCCACGUUCUCCCGAUCUCUGCGCCUCUGCCUCUGGACGGUAGCCGUCGUUGGCGGCUGUAUCUGCAUCUCUGCCUCUCGUUGUUGCGUCCUUUUUAUGGCUCCAGAUUCUCGCCGUCGAACGUAUCAGAUCUCAACCUGAGUUCGGUGCCCUGCGCCCUCGCCUCUCCCAGUUAGCCUUCUACUUUGUUCUUCGUGAGUUUGUGGGCUUUUGGGCUUUGGCUUUAGGUUCGUCUUCUCUCCAGACUCCAAUUUUAAAUUCACUUUAUGAUUUUUGUUGAAUAUUGAAUGUGUUUGUGUUUUAAAUUGAGUACUGACUAAUCCUAAGUGCUUGUGUGUUCGUGAGAAGAUUAGUUAAAUGCGCUCUGUAUAUGCUUAUUUCAAUUUUCAACAGUAAAUAUUUAGCUGCUGGACUGGACUAUUGGGUCGUAGAGUGGACUAUUUCUGGUGACUUUGGAAAGCUUACUGUUUCAUGCAUGUUGACAGCAUGAGGAGUGCUGCUAUCUCCA